rnacentral:rRNA from 1 species
AAWWRKRRGGAUAUAUAUGGGUAACUACAGUAACUCUGUUGCMAAWACAUGCAAAAAUCCUUGCCUUCUGUGCAGGGAUACAUUUUUAUGUGAGAUUGAUCGUCCUAAUAACGGGGUGGUGAUUGUGAGUAUAUGUAAUUGAUUCACCUAAUUGCCAACGAGCAAUGGGGGGUUUAAUAAAGUUUCUGCCCCAUCAACUUUCGACGGUAGUGUAUUGGACUACGGUGGUUGUAACGGGUAACGGGGAAUCAGGGUUCGAUUCCGGAGAGGGAGCUUGAGAGAUGGCUACCACAUCUAAGGAAGGCAGCAGGCGCGUAAAUUACCCAAUUUUGGAUUGAAGAGGUAGUGACAAAAAAUAACGAUACAGUACAUUACGUAUUGUGAUUGGAAUGRAAUGAAUGUAAAACAUUCUUUGAGGAGCUAGUGGAGGGCAAGUCUGGKGCCAGCAGCCGCGGUAAUACCAGCCUUCACAAGCAUAUACAAAUGUUGUUGCGUUUAAAAAGCUCSUAGUUGAAUUUGUUGUGAUCCGCCUUACACACUCSCAGUUGCKGGGKAGGGYUGACACCAUCAUGUUGU